UGGGGAAUCUUGCACAAUGGGGGAAACCCUGAUGCAGCGACGCCGCGUGAGUGAUGAAGCCCUUCGGGGUGUAAAGCUCUUUCGGCAGGGACGAUAAUGACGGUACCUGAAGAAGAAGCUGCGGCUAACUACGUGCCAGCAGCCGCGGUAAUACGUAGGCAGCGAGCGUUGUUCGGAGUUACUGGGCGUAAAGAGUGCGUAGGCGGUUUUCUAAGUUUGGUGUGAAAUCUCCCGGCUUAACUGGGAGGGUGCGCCGAAGACUGGAAGGCUAGAGUAUGGGAGAGGUAAGCGGAAUUCCUGGUGUAGCGGUGAAAUGCGUAGAUAUCAGGAGGAACACCUGCGGUGUAGACGGCUUACUGGACCAUAACUGACGCUGAGGCACGAAAGCGUGGGUAGCAAACAGGAUUAGAUACCCUGGUAGUCCACGCCCUAAACGAUGCAUACUUGGUGUGGGUAGUUCAUUCUAUCCGUGCCGGAGCUAACGCGUUAAGUAUGCCGCCUGGGGAGUACGGUCGCAAGGCUGA
rnacentral:rRNA from 1 species